CAAAAAAUAGUUUAAUAAAAAUACUGAUUUUGGGGAUCAGAAAUGAGAAAAUCUUUUUUGAUA
rnacentral:tRNA from 1 species